GAUGAACGCUGGCGGCGUGCCUAAUACAUGCAAGUCGAGCGAACAGACGAGGAGCUUGCUCCUCUGACGUUAGCGGCGGACGGGUGAGUAACACGUGGAUAACCUACCUAUAAGACUGGGAUAACUUCGGGAAACCGGAGCUAAUACCGGAUAAUAUAUUGAACCGCAUGGUUCAAUAGUGAAAGACGGUUUUGCUGUCACUUAUAGAUGGAUCCGCGCCGCAUUAGCUAGUUGGUAAGGUAACGGCUUACCAAGGCAACGAUGCGUAGCCGACCUGAGAGGGUGAUCGGCCACACUGGAACGGAGACACGGUCCAGACUCCUACGGGAGGCAGCAGUAGGGAAUCUUCCGCAAUGGGCGAAUGCCUGACGUAGCAACGCCGCGUGAGUGAUGAAGGUCUUCGGAUCGUAAAACUCUGUUAUUAGGGAAGAACAAAUGUGUAAGUAACUAUGCACGUCUUGACGGUACCUAAUCAGAAAGCCACGGCUAACUACGUG
rnacentral:rRNA from 1 species